rnacentral:rRNA from 1 species
ACGUAGGGGGCAAGCGUUAUCCGGAAUUAUUGGGCGUAAAGAGUGCGUAGGCGGCUUUGUAAGCCCGGGGUGAAAGGCUAUGGCUCAACCAUAGUAAGCCUUGUGAACUAUAAGACUUGAGUGGAGGAGAGGAAAGUGGAAUUCCUAGUGUAGCGGUGAAAUGCGUAGAUAUCAGGAGGAACACCAGUGGCGAAGGCGACUUUCUGGCCUUAUACUGACGCUGAGACGCGAGAGCGUGGGGAGCAAACAG